UACAGAGACCUCAAGCGUUAUCCGGAAUCAUUGGGCGUAAAGCGUACCGAUUGGUGGUCUAAAAAGUCAGCAGUGAAAUCUCAAGGCUCAACUUUGAGACUGUCUUUUGAAACUUUUAGACUAGAGGGGCAAAGAGGAAGCUGGAACGAACGGUGUAGUAGUGAAAUGCGUUGAUAUCGUUCGGAACACCAAUAGCGAAGGCGGGCUUCUGGGUGCCACCUGACACUGCUAGGACGAAAGCGUGGGGAGCGAAUGGG
rnacentral:rRNA from 1 species